UAUAAUUCCACCCAUUUUAACCUACAGAAAGCAUAAAAACAUUAUGCUGAUCAUAAAGACAUCAAUAAGAUGCAACAUCAUAAUCCCCAAGAGAAACACACAAUAUAGUAGAAAAUAUAUAAUGAGAAACAGCAGUUAUGACAAGGAAAUAAAAACUCGGUUGUACAGCUUUAGUAUACAUGAUUGGAUACAGCCGAGCAAUGGUAAUGAGUAGGGUAACUGCGAAAAUCACUCUACCCGAAUUCAAACCUGAUUAUCAUUCUAAAUACCCAAAUCCAUCUCAAUCCCAAUUAAAACUCAUCUUAAAU
rnacentral:misc_RNA from 1 species